rnacentral:lncRNA from 1 species
UUCAGACCUUAUUCAAAUUAAAAGCAGCCAUGAUUGUUAAUGAAAGUGCUGCAGGUAACAACACCACCUGAGCUACACCAGCAUUGCAGUUGAGGAAGCAGCAGCAUUUACUCUGUGGCUCUGAGGGCAGCCAGGGUCCCACUCUUCCCACACCACCACAAUUUUGCACCUCCUGGAUCAUCUCUUGGCUCCUGCUACUCUUCUGAGGCUGUGGAGAUAACCUCACCAUCUUUGAAAAUUAUUUAUGUCUUCUGUGCAGCAAUGUACUGAUUAAUAGAAGAAGGUUUGAUUAAAUAGAAGAAGGUUGUGUGCACUGGGACGAUGGAAGCAUUUUGCAGCCAAUGCUUGGGGUGUUUGACACAGUCCCAGGGGAGAGAAAUGAGGACUCUGAAAGCAGAUUCUGCAAAAAUUGUAUGCAGAUCAAUCAGAAAGCCAGUGCCACCAGGAGCCUUGGAGCAUCUCCUGCAGAGAAGGAUCAGCAGGUGGCCUGGAAAGACACUUCCAAAAACCCCAACUCAUCACUGUCCAGUGGCACAUGUCCCCCUGACAGAGCUCUGCAUAUCCCCUGGGGAAGGACACAUGGCAUCUGCACCUUGGCACAGGCUGCAUGGGACCAUCCGUGCUCCCACGGGACCCAAACCCAGCCCAGACGGGGCUGCUCUCCUGCAAACACAGGAUCCUUCAGCUCAGCUAGAACCUCCUUCAAAGCCUGAGCAGAUGCUUCAGGACAUCUCAUCAGAUGCAGGUUGUAGUCUGGCUGACUUCAAAGAGCCACUGGAAAUGGCAUGACGUGAU